UGGAAGACUUAAGAUGGCGGCGUUUGCACGGAGUGCAAUCACUGCGUCCUUACGGGGGUUGCAAGGCGUCCGAAGUAUGAGUCCACUAACAAAAGUCCAGAAACUCGCCAGUUAAUAGUAUUGUGUCUCUUCAAAAUAUCGGAGAAUAAUUUCUUUCUCGCUGAUCGCCUAACUUCUACUGACGAAGCUUGGAAGUUGCAGAAGGUUGGAGUGCAAUGGCGCGAUCUCGGCUGACUGCAACCUCCACCUCCUGGAUUCAAGCUAUUCUCCUGCCUCAGCCUGCCGAGUAGCUGGGAUUACAGGCAUGUGCCACCGCACCCAGCUAAUUUUGUAUUUUUUAGUAGAGAUGGGGUUUCUCCAUGUUGGUCAGGCUGGUCUUGAACUCCUGACCUCAGGUGAUCCGCCCACCUCAGCCUCCCAAAGUGCUGGGAUUACAGGCGUGAGCCACCGCGCCCGGCCAGAACAUUAGUUUUAAACUUCCUAACCCUUGGGAGAAGGCAAAACACUUGAUGAAAUCUACAUAAAGACUAAAACAUUUUACCAAUUUUGCAUUGUUUGUUUGAAAUUGCAUUGACGACUGAAAUACAAAAAAAAUUCUAAAACUUGUAUGGAACUACAAAAGACAUUAAAUAAUCAAAGUAAUCUUGAGCAACAAGGACACAGCUGGAGGCAUCACUCUACCUGAUUUUGUAAUCCAUUAUCAAAAAACUGUGGUACCAGCAUAAAAACAGAUUCACUGACCAGUGGAACAGGAAAGCCCAGACAUAACUCAUACAUUUCCAUCCAAUUGAUUUUUGACAAAAGUGGCACACAGAAUGGGGAGAGGACAAAUAAAUAAAUAAAUUGUUUUGAG
ensembl:lncRNA JPX JPX transcript, XIST activator